rnacentral:rRNA from 1 species
GAUGAAGGGGGCGAGCGUUAUCCGGAAUGACUGGGCGUAAAGGGUUCGUAGGCGGUAUUUUUUGUGAUUGGUAAAAUCGAGGAGCUUAACUCCUUCAAGCCUUUUAAACGUAAAUACGAAGAGUACGAUAGAAGAUAGCAGAAUUUCACAAGGAGGGGUGAUAUCCAUAGAUCUGUGAAGGACUCUCAGUGGCGAAGGCGGCUAUCUUGAUCGGGACUGACGUUGAGGAACGAAAGCAUGGGGAUCAAACAGG